GAUUUCACAUUUUACGUUAAUCAGCUUUGACAGAUCAUGUACCCAAAGUAUUAUAAGUAGUGUUGUCCUUUGAUAUCGAUAACAUAAUAUUAUGUUUGAAUGUAACAUCUACAUGUUGCGUUAUUCUAUUCACGUUUAAUUUAUUUUUCGACCUGUUUCCGAUUUGGAUGAAGAUUACAUAAAGAUAUUGUAUUUUCCAGAUUUCCUAAAUAUCCUAAUUUACGAAACAAGAAAUUAAGAAACAAUUAGAUUCAGACCAUGAAACGAGAUAAUUCUCUCUUCUGAAGGACGCCUUCUCCUUAUUUAAGCCUGUGCUAAUUACAUUUCGAUGUAUCUUGCUUUCUAUCGAGCAGGAUACCAAACAAAAAUAUUACAUAGAGAUGCAGUACCAACAAUAUUCACUCACAUAUCUCACAUAAGGUAAAGUUAUAACGACCAGAGCCGACACUAUACACUUCUAAAGAAAGUGAACAAGAGGAAAUAUUUUUUUUUUAUCACCAAAAGUCGGAAUUGUUCAGUGCUUCGUAGUCAUUGUAUUCUAACUAUAUUGAAUAAAAAUCUUAUAAAGAA